UGGCUCAGUAACACGUGGAGAAUCUAACCUUUGGUGGAGGAUAAUCUCGGGAAACUGAGAAUAAUACUCCAUAAACAUAGGAUGCUGGAAUGCUUCUAUGUUGAAAGGCAACGCCAAAGGAUGACUCUGCGACCUAUCAGGCUGUAGUGAGUGUAAUGGACUCACUAACCUGCAACGGGUACGGGUGUUGGAAGACAUUGCCCGGAGAUGGACUCUGAGACAUGAGUCCAGGUUCUACGGAACGCGGCAGGCGCGAAAACUCCGCAAUGUACGAAAGUACGACGGGGGAAUUCUGAGUGCUUACGCCUUGCGUAGGCUGUUUUCUUGUCUAAAAAACAAGGAGAGUAAGGGCUGGGUAAGACGGGUGCCAUCUCGUGCAAUUCUACACUUAUUGUGUUCGUUGCACGAAGCACAAGCCGCCGCGGUAAUACCCGCGGCCCGAGUGGUGCUCAUUAUUAUUGAGCCUAAAACGUCCGUAGCCGGUUUAAUAAAUUCUUGGGUAAAUCAUAUCGCUUAACGAUAUGAAUUCUGAGAACACUGCUAAACUCGGGAAUGGGAGAGGCCAGAGGUACUUUCAGGGUAGGGGUAAAAUCCCGUAAUCCUGAGAGGACCACCGGUGGCGAAGGCGUCUGGCUAGAACAUAUUCGACGGUAAGGGACGAAGCCCUGGGGCGCAGACGGGAUUAGAUACCCCGGUAGUCCAGGGUGUAAACGCUGUAGAUUUGGUGUUGGAAAUCCUACGGGGAUUUCCAGUGCCGGAGAGAAGUUGUUAAAUCUACUGCUUGGGGAGUACGGUCGCAAGACUGAAACUUAAAGGAAUUGGCGGGGGAGCACCGCAACGGGUGGAGCGUGCGGUUUAAUUGGAUUCAACGCC
rnacentral:rRNA from 1 species